rnacentral:rRNA from 1 species
UGAAUGCUAGGUGUAGGAGGUAUCGACCCCUCCUGUGCCGGAGUUAACGCAAUAAGCAUUCCGCCUGGGGAGUACGGUCGCAAGACUGAAACUCAAAGGAAUUGACGGGGGCCCGCACAAGCGGUGGAGUAUGUGGUUUAAUUCGACGCAACGCGAAGAACCUUACCAGGGCUUGACAUUGAGUGAAAAGUGUAGAGAUACACUCCUUCCUUCGGGAACACGAAAACAGGUGGUGCAUGGCUGUCGUCAG